UUUGAUCAUGGCUCAGGACGAACGCUGGCGGCGUGCUUAACACAUGCAAGCCGAACGGUGAAGGGGCCUGCUUUUGUGGGUCCUGGAUGAGUGGCGAACGGGUGAGUAACACGUGAGUAACCUGCCCCCUUCUUCUGGAUAACCGCAUGAAAGUGUGGCUAAUACGGGAUAUUCUGUGCCUGCUGCAUGGUGGGUGUGGGAAAGAUUGCGCUUUUUUGGUGUUUUUGGUGGGGGAUGGGCUCGCGGCCUAUCAGCUUGUUGGUGGGGUGAUGGCCUACCAAGGCGGUGACGGGUAGCCGGCCUGAGAGGGUGGACGGUCACACUGGGACUGAGACACGGCCCAGACUCCUACGGGAGGCAGCAGUGGGGAAUAUUGCACAAUGGGCGCAAGCCUGAUGCAGCGACGCCGCGUGAGGGAUGGAGGCCUUCGGGUUGUGAACCUCUUUCGCCAGUGAAGCAGGCCUGCCUCGUUUUGUGGGUGGGUUGACGGUAGCUGGAUAAGAAGCGCCGGCUAACUACGUGCCAGCAGCCGCGGUAAUACGUAGGGCGCGAGCGUUGUCCGGAAUUAUUGGGCGUAAAGAGCUCGUAGGCGGCUGGUCGCGUCUGUCGUGAAAUCCUCUGGCUUAACUGGGGGCUUGCGGUGGGUACGGGCCGGCUUGAGUGCGGUAGGGGAGACUGGAACUCCUGGUGUAGCGGUGGAAUGCGCAGAUAUCAGGAAGAACACCGGUGGCGAAGGCGGGUCUCUGGGCCGUUACUGACGCUGAGGAGCGAAAGCGUGGGGAGCGAACAGGAUUAGAUACCCUGGUAGUCCACGCCGUAAACGUUGGGCACUAGGUGUGGGGGGCCUUUUCCGGGUUUUCCGCGCCGUAGCUAACGCAUUAAGUGCCCCGCCUGGGGAGUACGGCCGCAAGGCUAAAACUCAAAGGAAUUGACGGGGGCCCGCACAAGCGGCGGAGCAUGCGGAUUAAUUCGAUGCAACGCAAAGAACCUUACCAAGGCUUGACAUGUGCCGGUCGGCUCCGGAGACGGGGUUUCCUCCUUGUGGGGCCGGUUCACAGGUGGUGCAUGGUUGUCGUCAGCUCGUGUCGUGAGAUGUUGGGUUAAGUCCCGCAACGAGCGCAACCCUUGUCUCGUGUUGCCAGCACGUUGUGGUGGGGACUCGCGGGAGACUGCCGGGGUCAACUCGGAGGAAGGUGGGGAUGACGUCAAAUCAUCAUGCCCCUUAUGUCUUGGGCUUCACGCAUGCUACAAUGGCCGGUACAGAGGGCUGCGAUACCGUGAGGUGGAGCGAAUCCCUUAAAGCCGGUCUCAGUUCGGAUCGGUGUCUGCAAACUCGACACCGUGAAGUUGGAGUCGCUAGUAAUCGCAGAUCAGCAACGCUGCGGUGAAUACGUUCUCGGGCCUUGCACACACCGCCCGUCA
rnacentral:rRNA from 1 species